AGUGAACGCUGGCGGUAGGCCUAACACAUGCAAGUCGAACGGCAGCACAGUAAGAGCUUGCUCUUACGGGUGGCGAGUGGCGGACGGGUGAGGAAUACAUCGGAAUCUACUUUUUCGUGGGGGAUAACGUAGGUAAACUUACUCUAAUACCGCAUACGACCUACGGUUGAAAGCAGGGGAUCUUCUGACCUUGCGCGAUUGAAUGAGCCGAUGUCGGAUUAGCUAGUUGGCGGGGUAAAGGCCCACCAAGGCGAGGAUCCGUAGCUGGUCUGAGAGGAUGAUCAGCCACACUGGAACUGAGACACGGUCCAGACUCCUACGGGAGGCAGCAGUGGGGAAUAUUGGACAAUGGGCGCAAGCCUGAUCCAGCCAUACCGCGUGGGUGAAGAAGGCCUUCGGGUUGUAAAGCCCUUUUGUUGGGAAAGAAAAGCAGCAGGUUAAUACCCCGCUGUUCUGACGGUACCCAAAGAAUAAGCACCGGCUAACUUCGUG
rnacentral:rRNA from 1 species